GCGGGAUCCCAAGUUCAAUAAGAACGCCUGGAGGCCAGACCUUGCGAAAUCCGCAAAUGGGGUGCCUGCAGAGAGAAAGGAUGUUUCUCUCAGUUAUUGGACCAGCUCCUGCCUUCAUGCCACCAUGCUCCCCACUAUGAUAAUGGACUACACCUAUGAAAAUGUGAGCAAGCCCCAGUAAAAUGUCUUCUUUGGUUGUGGCUCAUAAUCAUCUGUAAUGGGAU
rnacentral:lncRNA from 1 species